rnacentral:rRNA from 1 species
UACGGAGGGUGCAAGCGUUAUCCGGAUUCACUGGGUUUAAAGGGUGCGUAGGUGGGCUGGUAAGUCCGUGGUGAAAUCUCCAAGCUUAACUUGGAAACUGCCGUGGAUACUAUUAGUCUUGAAUCUCGUGGAGGUAAGCGGAAUAUGUCAUGUAGCGGUGAAAUGCUUAGAUAUGACAUAGAACACCGAUAGCGAAGGCAGCUUGCUACACGAGUAUUGACACUGAGGCACGAAAGCGUGGGGAGCAAACAGG